rnacentral:rRNA from 1 species
AGAACGAACGCUGGCGGCAGGCCUAACACAUGCAAGUCGAACGCGACCUUCGGGUCGAGUGGCGCACGGGUGAGUAACGCGUGGGAAUCUGCCCUGUGGUACGGAAUAACAUCGGGAAACUGGUGCUAAUACCGUAUAUCCCCUGAGGGGGAAGAUUUAUCGCCAUGGGAGGAGCCCGCGUAGGAUUAGCUAGUUGGUGAGGUAAAGGCUCACCAAGGCGACGAUCCUUAGCUGGUCUGAGAGGAUGAUCAGCCACACUGGGACUGAGAUACGGCCCAGACUCCUACGGGAGGCAGCAGUGGGGAAUAUUGGACAAUGGGGGAAACCCUGAUCCAGCCAUGCCGCGUGUGUGAUGAAGGCCUUCGGGUUGUAAAGCACUUUCACACGUGACGAUGAUGACGGUAACGUGAGAAGAAGCCCCGGCUAACUUCGUGCCAGCAGCCGC